rnacentral:rRNA from 1 species
CCUACGGGAGGCAGCAGUGGGGAAUUUUGGACAAUGGGCGCAAGCCUGGUCCAGCAAUGCCGCGUGAGUGAAGAAGGCCUUCGGGUUGUAAAGCUCUUUUGUCAGGGAAGAAACGGUGAAGGCUAAUAUCUUUUGCUAAUGACGGUACCUGAAGAAUAAGCACCGGCUAACUACGUGCCAGCAGCCGCGGUAAUACGUAGGGUGCAAGCGUUAAUCGGAAUUACUGGGCGUAAAGCGUGCGCAGGCGGUUUUGUAAGUUUGUCGUGAAAUCCCCGGGCUCAACCUGGGAAUGGCGAUGAAGACUGCAAGGCUAGAAUCUGGCAGAGGGGGGUAGAAUUCCACGUGUAGCAGUGAAAUGCGUAGAGAUGUGGAGGAACACCGAUGGCGAAGGCAGCCCCCUGGGUCAAGAUUGACGCUCAUGCACGAAAGCGUGGGGAGCAAACAGGAUUAGAUACCCUGGUAGUCCACGCCCUAAACGAUGUCUACUAGUUGUCGGGUUUUAAUAACUUGGUAACGCAGCUAACGCGUGAAGUAGACCGCCUGGGGAUACGGUCGCAAGAUUAAAACUCAAAUGAAUUGACCGGNUGAGAGNGCGACGACGACGACGAGGGAGAGG